GUCUUUUUGAUUAUAAUUUAAAGUCUGACCUGCCCAAUGAGUAAUUGAAUGGCCGCGGUAAUUUGACCGUGCAAAGGUAGCAUAAUCAUUAGUUUUUUAAUUGAAAGCUGGAAUGAAUGGUUGGACGAGAAAAUAACUGUCUCAGUUUAAUUGUAUAUAGAAUUUUAUUUAUAAGUAAAAAAGCUUAUAUAAUUUUAAAAGACGAGAAGACCCUAUAGAGUUUUACAUCUUAUUUUAUUAAUUAAGUUUAGAAUACUUAUGUUUUUGAUACAAUAAGGUGUUUUGCUGGGGCAGCAGAAAAAUUAAAUGAACUUUUUUUAUUACUAUUACAUUGAUUUAUGGUUUAAUGAUCCAUUUUUUAUGAUUACAAGAUUAAAUUACCUUAGGGAUAACAGCGUAAUUUUUUUUUAGAGUUCUUAUCGAAAAAAGAGUUUGCGACCUCGAUGUUGGAUUAAAAUUAACUUUUGGUGU
rnacentral:rRNA from 1 species